GUUCCCCUGCUUUGUUUGUGCAUGAGAUGGUGGUAUUUGAGCCAACAAAUUAGAAUUGGGAACCCAGCUUCAUGGCGUCCUUGGACGUAGUGAGAAGGUACCCACCUGUACAUAACAGGACCUAAAUGUCAUUAUUUCACACGGCAACAGCAGGGGAAUA
rnacentral:other from 1 species